GAUGAACGCUGGCGGCGUGCCUAAUACAUGCAAGUCGAGCGAACAGACGAGGAGCUUGCUCCUCUGACGUUAGCGGCGGACGGGUGAGUAACACGUGGAUAACCUACCUAUAAGACUGGGAUAACUUCGGGAAACCGGAGCUAAUACCGGAUAAUAUAUUGAACCGCAUGGUUCAAUAGUGAAAGACGGUUUUGCUGUCACUUAUAGAUGGAUCCGCGCCGCAUUAGCUAGUUGGUAAGGUAACGGCUUACCAAGGCAACGAUGCGUAGCCGACCUGAGAGGGUGAUCGGCCACACUGGAACUGAGACACGGUCCAGACUCCUACGGGAGGCAGCAGUAGGGAAUCUUCCGCAAUGGGCGAAAGCCUGACGGAGCAACGCCGCGUGAGUGACGAAGGUCUUCGGAUCGUAAAACUCUGUUAUUAGGGAAGAACAAAUGUGUAAGUAACUAUGCACGUCUUGACGGUACCUAAUCAGAAAGCCACGGCUAACUACGCG
rnacentral:rRNA from 1 species